rnacentral:rRNA from 1 species
CUAAUAGCAUAUAUUAAUGUUGUUGCAGUUAAAAAGCUCGUAGUUGAAAUUUAUGGUAUUAUACCUGCGUGAUUUAAAAUUAUGUUUUGAUAUCACGAUUACUGUGAACAAAUUAAAGUGCUUAAAACAGGCUUUGCUUGAAUAAUCUAGCACGGAAUAAUAGAAUAUGACAGAUUUUAUGGUUGUACACAAAAUCUUGUAAUGAUUAACAGAAACAGUUGGGGACAUUCGUAUUUAAUAGCUAGAGGUAAAAUUCUUUGAUUUAUUAAAGACGAACUAAAGCGAAAGCAUUUGUCAAGGAUGUUUNCAUUAA